AGGGUUCGAUUCUGGCUCAGGAUGAACGCUGACAGAAUGCUUAACACAUGCAAGUCUACUUGAUCCUUCGGGUGAUGGUGGCGGACGGGUGAGUAACGCGUAAAGAACUUGCCCUGCAGUCUGGGACAACAUUUGGAAACGAAUGCUAAUACCGGAUAUUAUGCGAACUUCGCAUGAAGCUCGUAUGAAAGCUAUAUGCGCUGCAGGAGAGCUUUGCGUCCUAUUAGCUAGUUGGUGAGGUAACGGCUCACCAAGGCGAUGAUAGGUAGCCGGCCUGAGAGGGUGAACGGCCACAAGGGGACUGAGACACGGCCCUU
rnacentral:rRNA from 1 species